AAAACUAGCCAGUCUUUUGGGUAUAAAACCCAUUCGGACGAGAGUAGUACUAGGAUGGGUGACCUCUUGGGAAGUCCUCGUGAAAGGGCUUC
rfam:Triticum aestivum genome assembly, contig: Triticum_aestivum_CS42_TGACv1_scaffold_004550_1AL